GAAGGGGUGGCAGAGUGGUCAUUGCGGCAGACUGUAAAUCUGCUGAUACGAGAUCGUCGUAGGUUCGAAUCCUACCCCCUUCA
rnacentral:tRNA from 1 species